AGCUCGUGUCGUGAGAUGUUGGGUUAAGUCCCGUAACGAGCGCAACCCUUGUCCUAGUUACCAGCACGUUAUGGUGGGCACUCUAAGGAGGACUGCCGGUGGACAAACCGGAGGAAGGUGGGGAUGACGUCAAGUCAUCAUGGCCCUUACGGCCUGGGCUACACACGUGCUACAAUGGUCGGUACAAAGGGUUGCCAAGCCGCGAGGUGGAGCUAAUCCCAUAAAACCGAUCGUAGUCCGGAUCGCAGUCUGCAACUCGACUGCGUGAAGUCGGAAUCGCUAGUAAUCGCGCAUCAGCCAUGGCGCGGUGAAUACGUUCCCGGGCCUU
rnacentral:rRNA from 1 species